AGUGAACGCUGGCGGUAGGCCUAACACAUGCAAGUCGAACGGCAGCACAGUAAGAGCUUGCUCUUACGGGUGGCGAGUGGCGGACGGGUGAGGAAUACAUCGGAAUCUACUUUUUCGUGGGGGAUAACGUAGGGAAACUUACGCUAAUACCGCAUACGACCUACGGGUGAAAGCAGGGGAUCUUCGGACCUUGCGCGAUUGAAUGAGCCGAUGUCGGAUUAGCUAGUUGGCGGGGUAAAGGCCCACCAAGGCGACGAUCCGUAGCUGGUCUGAGAGGAUGAUCAGCCACCCUGGAACUGAGACACGGUCCAGACUCCUACGGGAGGCAGCAGUGGGGAAUAUUGGACCAUGGGCGCAAGCCUGAUCCAGCCCUACCGCGUGGGUGAAGAAGGCCUUCGGGUUGUAAAGCCCUUUUGUUGGGAAAGAAAAGCAGCAGGUUAAUACCCCGCUGUUCUGACGGUACCCAAAGAAUAAGCACCGGCUAACUUCGUG
rnacentral:rRNA from 1 species